AUUUCAUUCUCUGAUAAAGGACCAGUAUUCUCACCUCCUUUAUCCCUUUAUUCAACAGUUUCUGCUAAUUUCUGAAUAGGCAAAGAAAGUAAGCUUGUGGGUUAGAAGAGAUUCCUUUAGCAAAUGGUGAAGAAGGGUUGUAACUGUGCGUUUGACUGGAAAAUUCUAUAGGCUUACCCCGAGGAGUGGAUUUGUGCUCUGGCUAUGGAGAUAGCAAUGCCAGGGCUGAAUGCAGGUAUCAUCUCUAGAAACAUGGGUUUAAGUUUUGUAAUAGCACACAGUGUUCUUAUCAUGUCUAACCUUGGAAUACUGGAGCUGGAAAAAUUGAGGCUCUAGAAAUGAGGUCAUGCUAGAUGAGAGUGGGCCCUACAUCCACUGUGAGUGUCCUUCUAAGAGACUGACAGACGCACAGACACACAAAGGGAAGAUGGAGACAGAGAUUGGAGUAACAGUGUCACAAGCCUAGAAAUGUCUGGGGCCACCAGAAGCUCAGACGAAGUAAGAAGGGAUUCUUCCCUAGAGCCUUCAGAGCGAGCAUGGCUCUACCAACACCUUCCUUUAGGACUUCU
rnacentral:lncRNA from 1 species